UACGUAGGGGGCAAGCGUUAUCCGGAUUUACUGGGUGUAAAGGGAGCGUAGACGGCAUAGCAAGUCUGAAGUGAAAGCCCGUGGCUCAACCGCGGAACUGCUUUGGAAACUGUUAAGCUGGAGUACUGGAGAGGCAAGCGGAGUUCCUAGUGUAGCGGUGAAAUGCGUAGAUAUUAGGAGGAACACCAGUGGCGAAGGCGGCUUGCUGGACAGAGACUGACGUUGAGGCUCGAAAGCGUGGGGAGCAAACAGG
rnacentral:rRNA from 1 species